UGAUUUCCAUCAUUUUACAAUCAUAUACUUCCCCCCUUGCCCUUGGUAGAGCCUUCAAAAGAAAGCUGAGCCCUUUCUUGUGUGUGUUUUUAGCUGCCUAGAGAGUGUGCUCAGUGCACUUGCUAGAACGAAUCGUGGUGGAGAGCACAUCUGAGUUAUGCUUGGUCCAGAAAUGCAUUUGGAGGGAGAAGACAAAGAUGAUGGUUGCAGCCAGCUUAUUCCAAGAUACCUCUUAGUCACAGAUGUCUUGGAAUAUUUUGGUUUCCUUUUAUCCCCCACCAAGGCCUGAAAAUAGGGGCCAAAAUGGAUCAUCAGACUACUGAGGUUGGAAGAAGAGCAGAGCAAGGAAAGGAGCUGAUAGGGCAAGAAUUUAGCAUGGGCUCAUCAAAUAUAGAAACAAGAAAGGAAAAAAUUCAGGGAGUUGGCUGCGCGAGGAACAGCUACACAUGAUGUGCCGGGAGGGGGUGCGGGACCAGGACGCAUCCUGGGGAGCAGCUCCCACUCGCAGCCUUUGAGGAUGCAGCCAGGCUGAUUUUCCAGGCUUUCCUUUGUGGAGUUCCUACAGGGUGGAGUCCUUGUGCCAGAAACCAGGGCAGCUGGCCGACCACUGCCCUCUGCUCACCUGCCCCUUGCUCUCUGCUGGGACACCAGCAGCAGUCGUGGAGCAUCUCGGGGGCUGUGGCACUGCAAUGACAAUGCUCUUUGUCUUGCUGCUUGCUGGGGACUGUUUCCUCCCACAGCUCUCCUGUCCCGGCUGGGGAGGGGUCUCCCCCUGGUCCCCACAUCUCCUGUCGCAGCAGGGCUGUGAGGGCUGCAGCCAGUGCUGAACCUCUCGGCUCCCUCGUGGUGCCAAAUGGCCACGAGCCUGGCACCGUGGUGCUCCUGGUCAGGGGGGCUCUGAGGUGGGGGACCCUUAGGGCUGGGGCUGCUCCAUGGGGACCGAAAUGCACCAGCCCAGGUCUCCCUGCUCGGUGUGAGCUGCCACAGGGGCAAACCAGAGCCAUGUGUCCCAUCUGAGCGAGGUCUGGGCGAGUCUCCGUGCGCCUCACAGGCAGCGCCUUCGCUGGUGCGGCAGCAGGGGGCUGGCCUCUGGCAGCACAGGGAGCUCCCCGUCCCCGUGCAGCUGCUGACCCCUCUAAUCCAGGUCCCCUCUCGGCAUUGCCUGCCUGCCCCGCCGUGUUUGUGCAGCUGGCUGCUCCUGCCGAGCUGCACAACCAGUGGUUGUCUCUGCUGGGUCUCGGUCUGCUUUUUUUUGGAGCAGGCCUCCAAUUUGUCAACAAGGCUUUGAGUUCAGGUCUCCUCCCAGUGGUCUUAUACUCCCCAACGGCCAUAAGUCUUCUGCAAACACAGCUGGCAUUCUCCCUUUCCCCCAACGCGGGGUCAGCAGGAGCAGAGAGCAGCCUCUGACCCACCUCCCCUGCAGCCACCACUGCCUAUUGACGUUUGACUCCGGGAGCUCCAGAGGUGGCGAUCCCGUGUCUGGGGCUCGCAUGCCUUUCCUCCUCACCCUGAUUUCCAGCCAGAUGAUGUUUGCUGUGAACAAGGAGCAGGAGCUGCUCUUGGAGCCUCUGCAGGGACCAGAGGCCAGGAGCCAGCCCUUGACCUCUCCAGCACCAGCUCUCAGUGCCCCUCCGUCCCUGCUAGGAGCGUGGUGCACUGAGCGGGGGCCACUGUCAGCCGUGCCGAGUGGGGAGCAGCUAUAAAUGGUAUUGGAGGGAAAGGACUAUUAGGAUUCUGUAGCUCUGAAAAAUACAUAAGUCUGAAAUAAGACUAAUGAGACAUUUACUGGUGCGGUUGGGUUGCAUUAAUGACCCUUCAGAGGAUACAAUUGCAAAAGGCUUUCACUGUAAUUACCACACUAAUGAUCAGCAGUGACAUCAUUUUAGACCAAAUGCAAUGCUUGUUUUGGAUACGUUUCAAGAUCGGGACUUCUCCACGGCUGCCGUAUCAGGCCCAUCAGCAUUAUUGCCUGUCUCCCUGCUCUGCUGGCCAUCUUUCUUAGCUGCCUCUUUGGCUACUGGCUUCCCUCCAGCCUGGCCCCAAAGCCCAGCGUUCCCCAGCUUUUUAAGGUGCUUCUGGGACGAUGAGCUCAGACCCGCGAUGUGUCAGCACCAGCUUCCCUUCCCCAGGCUGGGCAUGAACUGAAGGAGGAGAGAAGCAGGGGCAGAGCCACCACGUCCUUUUAUUCUGUGAGCAUUCUUAAAAGGCUUUUAAUAAACAGUGAUUUAUCAUCUCCUGGCAUGGCCGGGAGCACCGUGCAGCCUUUGAACAGGACCUGCUCCUGGGUGCACUCUUACAGCCGGUGGGGACAGGCGGGUCCAGAUCUUCCCCAGAUCCUCUGGGCUUGGAGGAACAUAUUAAUUAACCUCAUUAGCUGGGAUCAUUCCAGCGCCACAGGGAGAAGGUGUAACAGUGGCUGAGCCUGCGGUCCGGCACAGGGGAAGGGCUCUCUGCCAGCCAGCACCGGGCAGGGAUGGGGCAGAAGGCGUGUGGUGGGGCUGGGGGCAGGGCACAAUGGGGACAGAGCCCCUGGGGGGCUGGCAGGGGCCUGGGGUGUCUGUGAGCCCUUGUGUGCGCCCCUGCCCCUGCUUCCCCUUGCUGAGGAUGGCACUGACAGCCGCUUGUUAAGCCUGACAGAGCAUCAGCUUUGAAGGAGUCGAGGAAAGCAGGGCUUUUUAAUUAAAAAAAAAAAAAAAAAAAAAGCAAGUCAUGAUUUCUGCCUUUCCUGCUCGGCUCUCCUGGAAGCAGCAUUCCUGCUGCAGCAUGUACGAGCAGCACGGUGAUGGCCCUGUCAUCCGUGCCCAUAGGCUACUGCUCCCUGCCCCAGCCCUCCCACCAGGGUUUGCCUUUGAAGGCGAAGGCGCCGCUCUGUGACUGUCCUCGGGGACGUUCAUUUUCUCUCCUGCAGACCUGCUGCUUGUCACCAGCGAACAUCCCGCCAGGCUCACAUUGUCCACUCGUCCCCGGCAGCAUCCAGGGAAAUCUUGGUGCCGAUAGCAGGUAUUGGCAGGGGGAUGCCCCCAGAAGGGGGAUGAGGGUUUGGGAGCCGUUCCUUGUGGUUACCAGUCAGGCUCCGGGGACUGCUCGGUUUAUGCAGAAUGCUAAGUGACUUUCAUUCUCUACCUGUGAUUUCCUGACAGGUAUGUGGAGUUUUCUUCUUUUGGAGCUCAUUCUGUCUCUGAAGAGGGUGAAUGGUAAUCAGGAGUGUUGUCUCGGGUGAAGGCACUUAUGACUCGCAGCCAUAAAACACGAGUCUUUAUCAUAAGGGAAGCAGAGGGGAGCAUUAAUCCUCGCAAGGAAGUGAAAACAGGCACCAACAUCCAUAAUCACUGCCUUCCUUAAUUCCUAAGCCUCCCUAAUCCAUCUCGCACUCCGUGUUUGUCAGGGCGCCCAGCCGACACAAGCCAGAGCAUCCUGCCCCCGUGUCCCCCGCCCGAGGUGCUGCCCGCUGGUGCUGGCCGGGUGCCCUGCUCCCGCUGUGCCCCCCGGGCUGCUGCAGCGCCGGCCGUGGGCUCAGCCCUGCCUCCAACACAUGCCCCCCUGGGCUGAUCCCCCGGCUUCGUUUCUGAGAACCCCCCCCACAGGAGCUUUUGCAGAGGGAGAUUUCUCCGUUUCAAUUCCAUUACCUCCGAAAAUCCAUGAGGCGUUUGGAAAACGUCACCGGCGACAUUCAAAAUAAUCUCAGGCAUCCCCUCUGCUGCUCCCGCUCCCAGGCCCUGCCCUGGCACCGCUGAGCUCCCGGCCACGUGCGGCACGCAGUGCUCGCAGC